CCUUCAUCCAUGUUCCAAAAGGUUGCUGGACCUGGUCUUGAUGCCCCAUUGGUACCAUCCUUCCUGCUUUACUCACUGCAAUGGGCUAUACUGAUAUGGUUCAAAGUCUCGCCAAGAAAGCAGCAGAAACUGUUGUCACCGUAAUUGACGAGGAAGGCUUCAGUCAGACAAAGUUCUGCAUACUUUAUUGGAUAUUUAUUCAAAACCAGUGAUCUAUAUCUUGUUGUUGAGGCUCCAAAUGUGAUAUCCACCCUGAUUAUUUUACUAAGUGAAUCAGAUUAAUCUACCGUGACAGUUAUUUUGAUUCAUUGUAUGAUACAAUGCAUUUCAAUGUACUAGUUUAUCUUCCCAUGCUCUUUUACAGGUUGCUUUGGAAGCAUUUUCUAGUGUGAUAAAUUCAGUUCCUGAAGAAGUUCUUCCUUCAUAUAUAGAGUUGGUUCGUGAUGUAUAGAAACAUGCAGGGAGGACCAGUUCUAAUUCCUGGUUUUUCCCUCUGGAAAGCUCUUCAACCUGUGCUUCCUAUUUUCCUCCAGAAAGCAAGCAGCUUUGGGCCUUGGAGAGUAAAUUGAAGUGACAAGUGAGCAAGCAUUAAAGGAGUUUGUCAUUCCAAUCACAG